rnacentral:tRNA from 1 species
UGACCCCUAGUGUAAUGGUAGCACGACUGACUCUGAAUCAGUUAGUCAAGGUUCAAAUCCUUGGGGGUCAA